CAACCUGGCGGGUGCCUAAUACAUGCAGUCUAGCGGACAGACUCGGGAGUGAGCGUGGGACGGGUGAGGAACACGUGGGCAAUCUGCCCAUUGGACUGGAAUAACGCCUGGAAACGGGUGCUAAGGCCAGAUAGGCACAGAAGAGGCGUCUCUUUUGUGGGAAAGAUGCUGUGGCAUCGCCAGUGGAGGAGCCCGCGGCGCAUAGGCUGGUUGGAGGGGUGAAGGCCCACCAAAGCGACGAUGCGUAGCCGACCUGAGAGGGUGAACGGCCACUCUGAGGACUGAGACACGGCCCAGACUCCUACGGGAGGCAGCAGUAGGGAAUCUUCCGCAAUGGGCGCAAGCCUGACGGAGCAACGCCGCGUAAGCGAAGAAGGCCUUCGGGUUGUAAAGCUUAGUCACUCGGGAAGAGCGGGUGGGAGAGGGAAUGCUCCCACCUAGACGGUACCUGGAGAGGAAGCCCCGGCAAACUACGUGCCAGCAGCCGCGGUAGU
rnacentral:rRNA from 1 species